CACAAAAGCUGGGAAUGAGUUUUACGACAUUUUGUCAAGGUGUCCAAACAGGAAGAAUGUUUGCCUUCUAUCUAGGACCUGUCUCCCAGCUUCACUGCUCAUAGGUAUCCUGUAUCUUACAAUGCUUUAUUCCAGUGGUAAGAAAGGGCUCGUCUGGCCUUGAAAUUCUGAAUUUUGAAAAGAGUUCAAGGUGAUGAUACCAAUGUUGCUGGUCCUGAGAACGAACUGUGAAGAGCAAGGGGCUAAGUCACAUGGAAGAUAUAGGGGAGCUGACGCCUCAGGAAUUUCCUCCUUGACUUCUGCAAGAGGUCACCUGGCAAAUCUAAGUCAGACGCUAGACAGCAAAUGGCUAUAGCUUGUUUAACUGGGUAAGUCCUAUCGUCUGUCUUCUAGCCUUCCUGCACAUGUUUCUCAGAUGAGUAGCCUCCGUGUGA
rnacentral:lncRNA from 1 species